rnacentral:rRNA from 1 species
GAUCAAGCGCGAUAAGGGCGUUUGGUGGAUGCCUUGGCAGCAAGAGGCGAUGAAGGACGUGGCACUCUGCGAUAAGCCCGGGGGAGGCGAGAGCACCCUUUGAUCCCGGGAUGUCCGAAUGGGGAAACCCACCUGACACUCAUCGAUUAUGAGAAGCCGAGCGGUUCCGCGCACAGCGGGAUGGCUCGAUGAUGGCUUCUGAUGAUCGGCGAGUGAACCAGGUACUUUUGACCUGAACACAUAGGGUUAAAAGAGCGAACCCGGGGAACUGAAACAUCUCAGUACCCGGAGGAAAGGAAAUCAACCGAUACUCCGUUAGUAGUGGCGAGCGAACGCGGACCAGCCGAGCCGAAAGAGACAGCAGAACCAGUUGGGAAACUGGGCGAUAUGGGUGAUAGCCCCGUAUGCGACAUCUCGAUCGGACGUAUUAAGUAGGGCGGGACACGUGCAAUCCUGUCUGAAGAUCGGGGGACCACCCUCGAAGGCUAAGUACUCCUUGCUGACCGAUAGCGAACCAGUACCGUGAGGGAAAGGUGAAAAGCACCCCGACAAGGGGAGUGAAACAGUCCCUGAAACCGGACGCCUACAAACAGUCGGAGCCUGCGAUGCUUCUUCGGAAGCGCGACGGGUGACGGCGUACCUUUUGUAUAAUGGGUCAACGACUUGGUCUCACGAGCAAGCUUAAGCCGUUAGGCGUAGGCGCAGCGAAAGCGAGUCUUAAUAGGGCGCUUGAGUUCGUGGGAUCAGACCCGAAACCGAGUGAUCUAGGCAUGUCCAGGAUGAAGGUGCGGUAACACGCACUGGAGGUCCGAACCCACACCUGUUGAAAAAGGUCGGGAUGAGGUGUGCCUAGGGGUGAAAGGCCAAUCAAACUCGGAGAUAGCUGGUUCUCCGCGAAAUCUAUUUAGGUAGAGCGUCGGAUCAAUACCCUCGGGGGUAGAGCACUGCAUGGGCUAUGGGGACUCACCGUCUUACUGAUCCUAAGCAAACUCCGAAUACCGAGGCGUUCUGUCCGGCAGACACACGGCGGGUGCUAACGUCCGUCGUGAAGAGGGAAACAACCCUGACCUGCAGCUAAGGCCCCUAAUUCGUGGCUAAGUGGGAAAGCAUGUGAGACGGCCAAAACAACCAGGAUGUUGGCUUAGAAGCAGCCAUCAUUUAAAGAAAGCGUAACAGCUCACUGGUCUAGAUAAGCUGUCUUGCGGCGAAGAUGUAACGGGGCUCAAGCCACGAGCCGAAGCUCAGGGUGCAUCGCAAGAUGCGCGGUAGCGGAGCGUUCUGUCUAUGCAGACCCUGCCUCUUUAGUUUUGGAUGCUGCUGUGCGCUCAAGUAGCGUAGCGGUAGCGCGACCCAAGACUCCGGAGGCAUGGGUCUCGGCGACGAAGCCGGCCUGUGAGGGACCGGUGGAGCAUUCAGAAGCGAGAAUGUUGACAUGAGUAGCGACAAAGCGGGUGAGAGACCCGCUCGCCGAAAGUCCAAGGGUUCCUGCUUAAAGCUAAUCUGAGCAGGGUGAGCCGACCCCUAAGGCGAGGCCGAAAGGCGUAGUCGAUGGGAACCAGGUUAAUAUUCCUGGGCCAGGAGGAAGUGACGGAUCGUAGCUGUUGUCUGGUCUUAUCGGAUUGAUCAGGCUUCGAAGCGGUCCCUGGAAAUAGCCCUCCAUGAGAUCGUACCCUAAACCGACACAGGUGGACUGGUAGAGCAUACCAAGGCGCUUGAGAGAACUACGUUGAAGGAACUCGGCAAAAUGCCUCCGUAACUUCGGGAGAAGGAGGCCCCGUUGGUGGGCAACCACUGGCGGGGGGCACAAACUAGGGGGUGGCGACUGUUUACUAAAAACACAGGACUCUGCGAAGCCCAAAGGCGACGUAUAGGGUCUGACGCCUGCCCGGUGCCGGAAGGUUAAAAGGAGGAGUGCAAGCUCUGAAUUGAAGCCCCGGUAAACGGCGGCCGUAACUAUAACGGUCCUAAGGUAGCGAAAUUCCUUGUCGGGUAAGUUCCGACCUGCACGAAUGGCGUAACGACUUCCCCGCUGUCUCCAACGUAGACUCAGCGAAAUUGAAUUCCCCGUGAAGAUGCGGGGUUCCCGCGGUCAGACGGAAAGACCCCGUGCACCUUUACUACAGCUUCACACUGGCAUCAGGUCAGGCAUGUGCAGGAUAGGUGGUAGGCUUUGAAGCGGGGACGCCAGUUCCCGGGGAGCCUCCCUUGAGAUACCACCCUUGCCUUGCCUGAUGUCUAACCGCGGACCGUUAUCCGGUUCCGGGACCCUGUGUGGCGGGUAGUUUGACUGGGGCGGUCGCCUCCCAAAGAGUAACGGAGGCGCGCGAUGGUGGGCUCAGGUUGGUCGGAAAUCAACCGUCGAGUGCAAUGGCAUAAGCCCGCCUGACUGCGAGACUGACAAGUCGAGCAGAGACGAAAGUCGGCCAUAGUGAUCCGGUGGUCCCGCGUGGAAGGGCCAUCGCUCAACGGAUAAAAGGUACGCCGGGGAUAACAGGCUGAUACUGCCCAAGAGUCCAUAUCGACGGCAGUGUUUGGCACCUCGAUGUCGGCUCAUCACAUCCUGGGGCUGGAGAAGGUCCCAAGGGUACGGCUGUUCGCCGUUUAAAGUGGUACGUGAGCUGGGUUUAGAACGUCGUGAGACAGUUCGGUCCCUAUCUGCCGUGGGUGUCGGAGACUUGAGAGGAGUUGCCCCUAGUACGAGAGGACCGGGGUGAACGCACCACUGGUGGACCUGUUGUCGUGCCAACGGCAGUGCAGGGUAGCUAUGUGCGGACAGGAUAACCGCUGAAGGCAUCUAAGCGGGAAGCCCCCCUCAAAACCAGGUCUCCCUUGAGGGCCGUGGAAGACCACCACGUCGAUAGGCCGGAGGUAUAAGUGCAGCAAUGCAUUCAGCUGACCGGUACUAAUCGCCCGAUAGGCUUCAUCCG